CCUACGGGUGGCAGCAGUGAGGAAUAUUGGUCAAUGGACGAGAGUCUGAACCAGCCAAGUAGCGUGAAGGAUGACUGCCCUAUGGGUUGUAAACUUCUUUUAUAUGGGACUAAAAUGUUCCACGUGUGGGAUUUUGUAUGUACCAUAUGAAUAAGGAUCGGCUAACUCCGUGCCAGCAGCCGCGGUAAUACGGAGGAUCCGAGCGUUAUCCGGAUUUAUUGGGUUUAAAGGGAGCGUAGGUGGAUUGUUAAGUCAGUUGUGAAAGUUUGCGGCUCAACCGUAAAAUUGCAGUUGAAACUGGCAGUCUUGAGUACAGUAGAGGUGGGCGGAAUUCGUGGUGUAGCGGUGAAAGGCUUAGAUAUCACGAAGAACUCCGAUUGCGAAGGCAGCUCACUGGACUGCAACUGACACUGAGGCUCGAAAGUGUGGGUAUCAAACAGGAUUAGAUACCCGAGUAGUC
rnacentral:rRNA from 1 species